GACGUAGGGCGCGAGCGUUGUCCGGAUUUAUUGGGCGUAAAGAGCUCGUAGGCGGCUCAUUGCGUCAACCCGUGAAAUCCUGCUGCUCAACGGCAGUCGUGCGGUUGAUACGGGUGGGCUGGAGUUCGGUAGGGGAGACUGGAAUUCCUGGAUGUAGCGGUGAAAUGCGCAGACUAUCAGGAGGAACACCGGUGGCGAAGGCGGGUCUCUGGGCCGAUACUGACGCUGGAGGAGCGAAAGCCGUGGGGAGCGAACAGG
rnacentral:rRNA from 1 species